AAUGAACGUUGGCGGCAUGGAUUAGGCAUGCAAGUCGGGGGAAUCCCAGCAAUGGGGGAACCGGCGUAAGGGGCAGUAAGGCAUGGGUACCUACCUUGGGGUUCGGGAUAGCCAUCAGAGAUGGUGGGUAAUACCGGAUGGCGUCGUGAGACCAAAGAUUUAUCGCCCUUAGAGGGGCCCAUGUGAUAUUAGCUAGUUGGUGGGGUAACGGCCCACCAAGGCGAAGAUGUCUAGCGGGUGUGAGAGCACGACCCGCGCCACUCGCACUGAGACACUGGCGAGACACCUACGGGUGGCUGCAGUCGAGGAUCUUCGGCAAUGAGCGCAAUCUUGACCGAGCGAUGCCGCGUGAGCGAUGAAGGCCUUCGGGUUGUAAAGCUCUUUAGUGGGGGAGAAAAGCCGCAAGGUGUGAUCUAUCCCAAAAAUAAGCACGGGCUAAGUUCGUGCCAGCAGCCGCCGUAA
rnacentral:rRNA from 1 species